CCUACGGGAGGCAGCAGUGGGGAAUAUUGCACAAUGGGGGAAACCCUGAUGCAGCGACGCCGCGUGAGUGAAGAAGUAUUUCGGUAUGUAAAGCUCUAUCAGCAGGGAAGAAAAUGACGGUACCUGAUUAAGAAGCCCCGGCUAACUACGUGCCAGCAGCCGCGGUAAUACGUAGGGGGCAAGCGUUAUCCGGAUUUACUGGGUGUGAAGGGAGCGUAGACGGCAGCACAAGUCUGGAGUGAAAUGCCGGGGCUUAACCCCUGAACUGCUUUGGAAACUGUGCAGCUAGAGUGCAGGAGAGGUAAGUGGAAUUCCUAGUGUAGCGGUGAAAUGCGUAGAUAUUAGGAGGAACACCAGUGGCGAAGGCGGCUUACUGGACUGUAACUGACGUUGAGGCUCGAAAGCGUGGGGAGCAAACAGGAUUAGAUACCCGGGUAGUC
rnacentral:rRNA from 1 species